rnacentral:rRNA from 1 species
GAUGAACGCUGGCGGCGUGCCUAAUACAUGCAAGUCGAGCGAACGGACGAGAAGCUUGCUUCUCUGAUGUUAGCGGCGGACGGGUGAGUAACACGUGGAUAACCUACCUAUAAGACUGGGAUAACUUCGGGAAACCGGAGCUAAUACCGGAUAAUAUUUUGAACCGCAUGGUUCAAAAGUGAAAGACGGUCUUGCUGUCACUUAUAGAUGGAUCCGCGCUGCAUUAGCUAGUUGGUAAGGUAACGGCUUACCAAGGCAACGAUGCAUAGCCGACCUGAGAGGGUGAUCGGCCACACUGGAACUGAGACACGGUCCAGACUCCUACGGGAGGCAGCAGUAGGGAAUCUUCCGCAAUGGGCGAAAGCCUGACGGAGCAACGCCGCGUGAGUGAUGAAGGUCUUCGGAUCGUAAAACUCUUUUAUUAGGGAAGAACAUAUGUGGAAGUAACUGUGCACAUCUUGACGGUACCUAAUCAAAAAGCCACGGCUAACUACGUG